rnacentral:rRNA from 1 species
GCAGUCGAGGGGCUCAGGAAGAAGCUUGCUUUCUUUGCUGGCGACCGGCGCACGGGUGAGUAACACGUAUCCAACCUGCCCUUUACUCGGGGAUAGCCUUUCGAAAGAAAGAUUAAUACCCGAUAGCAUAAUGAUUCCGCAUGGUUUCAUUAUUAAAGGAUUCCGGUAAAGGAUGGGGAUGCGUUCCAUUAGGUUGUUGGUGAGGUAACGGCUCACCAAGCCUUCGAUGGAUAGGGGUUCUGAGAGGAAGGUCCCCCACAUUGGAACUGAGACACGGUCCAAACUCCUACGGGAGGCAGCAGUGAGGAAUAUUGGUCAAUGGGCGGUAGCCUGAACCAGCCAAGUAGCGUGAAGGAUGAAGGCUCUAUGGGUCGUAAACUUCUUUUAUAUAAGAAUAAAGUGCAGUAUGUAUACUGUUUUGUAUGUAUUAUAUGAAUAAGGAUCGGCUAACUCCGUGCCAGCAGCCGCGGUAAUACGGAGGAUCCGAGCGUUAUCCGGAUUUAUUGGGUUUAAAGGGAGCGUAGGUGGACUGGUAAGUCAGUUGUGAAAGUUUGCGGCUCAACCGUAAAAUUGCAGUUGAUACUGUCAGUCUUGAGUACAGUAGAGGUGGGCGGAAUUCGUGGUGUAGCGGUGAAAUGCUUAGAUAUCACGAAGAACUCCGAUUGCGAAGGCAGCUCACUGGACUGCAACUGACACUGAUGCUCGAAAGUGUGGGUAUCAAACAGGAUUAGAUACCCUGGUAGUCCACACAGUAAACGAUGAAUACUCGCUGUUUGCGAUAUACAGUAAGCGGCCAAGCGAAAGCAUUAAGUAUUCCACCUGGGGAGUACGCCGGCAACGGUGAAACUCAAAGGAAUUGACGGGGGCCCGCACAAGCGGAGGAACAUGUGGUUUAAUUCGAUGAUACGCGAGGAACCUUACCCGGGCUUAAAUUGCAGUGGAAUGAUGUGGAAACAUGUCAGUGAGCAAUCACCGCUGUGAAGGUGCUGCAUGGUUGUCGUCAGCUCGUGCCGUGAGGUGUCGGCUUAAGUGCCAUAACGAGCGCAACCCUUAUCUUCAGUUACUAACAGGUCAUGCUGAGGACUCUGGAGAGACUGCCGUCGUAAGAUGUGAGGAAGGUGGGGAUGACGUCAAAUCAGCACGGCCCUUACGUCCGGGGCUACACACGUGUUACAAUGGGGGGUACAGAAGGCAGCUAGCGGGUGACCGUAUGCUAAUCCCAAAAUCCUCUCUCAGUUCGGAUCGAAGUCUGCAACCCGACUUCGUGAAGCUGGAUUCGCUAGUAAUCGCGCAUCAGCCACGGCGCGGUGAAUACGUUCCCGGGCCUUGUACACACCGCCCGUCAAGCCAUGGGAGCCGGGGGUACCUGAAGUACGUAACCGCAAG